AUACGGAGGGCGCAAGCGUUGUUCGGAAUUAUUGGGCGUAAAGCGCGUGUAGGUGGUGAGGAAAGUUGGGUGUGAAAUCCCGGGGCCCAACCCCGGAACUGCACUCAAAACUUCCUCGCUAGAGUCCCGGAGAGGAAGGCGGAAUUCCCGGUGUAGAGGUGAAAUUCGUAGAUAUCGGGAGGAACACCAGUGGCGAAGGCGGCCUUCUGGACGGUGACUGACACUGAGACGCGAAAGCGUGCGGAGCAAACAGGAUUAGAAACCCCGGUAGUCC
rnacentral:rRNA from 1 species